CCGCCCCGCUUGUCCGUCUCCUUCAUUUUUAUCUUGCUCAUGCCUGGUCUGCGCGACCAUGGCGUUCCACGAGUAGCCCCGCGCUGCCCGGUCGGCGCUCUACUCCCUUGAGCCCGUCAGGGCCCUCACCUACUCCACCAUCCCCAACGCGCCGCCUCUCCUCCCAUGGCGCGACUCACUCCAUGUCCGCUUUAGCCCAGCGGAGGCCCCCGACCUCGGCUGCCUACCAGCGGCCUGCCGGGACGCGCUGCAAGAGUACUAGCACUCGCUGACGGAGUUCUGGUUGGGGAUUGGAAUCCCUCCGUCGCGGUCUGCUCUUGGGGUGGUCGCCGGCGUGGAGGCUGUAGGCGUGAAUAGAGUGCGUUCCUGCGUUCGCGGAUGAAGCAGGCGAUAGUCUUGCUGCCCUGCAGAAUACGCCGUGGAGGGAGGGGUGUUGGAGUUCGGAACUGUGAUAGGGGCUAGUUCAAGCUGUAGCUGCCGACCGCGCAUUCUACUUUCGCGGAUGAAGCGGGCGAUGGUGUUGCUGCCCUGCAGACCAUGAGGAGACGUGGUGCCGUUCAUCCUGCUAAUUUUGGUGGUGUGAAGGCUGCCGGUUUUGGUGGAGUAGCGAGGUUGAUGUGUGGUGUGGACUGAACUGAAAGUGUCAUGACAACCUUCCAAAGAACAAAGGUGACAUGGUGCAUGUCUGCACAAAGAAAACAACAGUUGUUACCCUACAGUGGCUGCAGAAGGGGGCUAUCGCAUAGUUGAUGGGUGUGGAACACACUCAUGAUCUUUACUCUCAGGAUCUUGUCGCGGCAGAGGUUUAUGCACUCUGAGAUUGGUGACAUCAUGGUUGUAUUCAGGCUACUUGAUUCCGGCUAACAGAGGUACGCGAUGGGGAUGGAAGAGUGUUGAAGUACCUGGCACCAUUUGAUUCGUAGGUCGCUGGCUUCUGGAACUGCCGGCGCGAUGCUCCCCACCGCGAUGGUUGCCCUCCGCCGCUCAGGAGCCUCGCAACAUGUAACUGCGGCGAUGCGCAGUGUUGUUUGUUUUGACUGGAUUUUAUACUAGGCAAGGAAAAUAGGAGAUGGUUUGUCACGAUCUCGAGUUGAAUGGAGGAGCAUAUAGCCCACUAAUGGGCCUUCAGGACCCCUGGAAGCCUUCUCUUUGUAGAGCCCGAUGAGCCAUCCAGCCCUUUCAGCACGGUCGCGAAGCACAGCAGAAGCGAGGCCACUAAUGGGCCGACAGAACCACUGGCAUGCUUGGCGUUGUAUUGGGCCCGAUGGGCCUAGCACAUUCGAUAUGGUUGUAUACUGUUUUGCUUGACUAUUUUUAAUAUUUUAUGUGUUUGGCUUAGUCCUUUUUUAUCUUAUUUUUUUGCUAAUUGUUUAUCUUUGUGUGUAUGUUUUUGAAUAUAUUGCAAUAUGUAUAUUUGUCCAAGAUUGAUUGGAGUCACUA